UACGUAGGGGGCAAGCGUUGUCCGGAUUUAUUGGGCGUAAAGGGCGCGUAGGCGGUUUCUUAAGUUUGGAGUGAUAGUGGGUGGCUUAACUACCCAAGGCCUUUGAAAACUGGGGAACUUGAGGACCAGAGAGGGACAUAGAAUUCCGGGUGGAGUGGUGAAAUGCGUAGAUAUCCGGAGGAAUACCAAAGGCGAAGGCAGUGUCCUGGAGGGUAACUGACGCUGAGGCGCGAAAGCUAGGGGAGCCGAACAGG
rnacentral:rRNA from 1 species